CUUCGGUGACCGAGUAGAGUGGCGAACGGGUGAGUAGCGCGUGGGUAACCUGCCCUUUGUAUUGGGAUAACCCGAGGAAACUCUGGCUAAUACCGAAUAAGCCUGUUUUUUUUAAAGAAUGAACAGGGAAAGGCUUCGGCCGACGAAGGAGGGGCCCGCGUCCGAUUAGCUAGUUGGUGGGGUAAGAGCUCACCAAGGCAACGAUCGGUAACCGGUCUGAGAGGACGGACGGUCACACUGGGACUGAGACACGGCCCAGACUCCUACGGGAGGCAGCAGUGGGGAAUUUUGCGCAAUGGGGGAAACCCUGACGCAGCAACGCCGCGUGGAGGAAGAAGGCUUUCGAGUCGUAAACUCCUUUUCUGAGGGACGAAGCAAGUGACGGUACCUUAGGAAGAAGCCCCGGCUAACUCCGUGCCAGCAGCCGCGGUAAUACGGGGGGGGCGAGCGUUGUUCGGAAUUACUGGGCGUAAAGGGCGCGUAGGCGGACCGAGAAGUUUUGGGUGAAAGCCCCGGGCUCAACCCGGGAAAGUCCCAGAAAACCAUCGGACUGGAGUGCUGGAGAGGCAAGCGGAAUUUCUGGUGUAGCGGUGAAAUGCGUAGAUAUCAGAAGGAACACCUGAGGCGAAGGCGGCUUGCUGGACAGACACUGACGCUGAGGCGCGAAAGCUAGGGGAGCAAACGGGAUUAGAUACCCCGGUAGUCCUAGCCGUAAACGAUGGGUACUUGGUGUAGGGGACGGUAGGUCUUCUGUGCCGGCGAAAACUCGUUAAGUACCCCGCCUGGGGAGUACGAUCGCAAGAUUGAAACUCAAAGGAAUUGACGGGGGCCCGCACAAG
rnacentral:rRNA from 1 species